UACAAUUGAUUGCUUCUAGAGUUUAAAAAGG
rnacentral:piRNA from 1 species